AGUUGGAUAGGGAUGUUUAUGGCUCUCAUUCUCAAUUAGAACUUGAUGCAUUUCUAUAUUUCACCACAGAUUUAUUUGGAAACCUGUGGUGCUGUUGCGCGGAUGAAGGAAACUCUGACUACAGCGUUUAGCUACCCUGCCAUGUGUUAAAUUUCAAUAUAUCCAUCUCACUUUGCGACUUAAAAUAUUCUAUAAACUCUGAAAAAUAUGUUGAAUAAUGCUGAACAGAUUUUCAAGUUAACGAUUUAGGACUGAUUCAGUUAUCGGUUUUCAAGUGGAUGAAUAUUUUGGCGGGAUUUUGGUUUUGUUCUUGGUUUUUAAGGAUGAGGGUGUCACACAACCUGACAUCUGUCGAAUUUAAUGAGUUUCUACCAAAUGACAGAUAAAUGUGGGACAAAAUUCUGGACACAUCAUCUUUGACAUCAACAACAAAAGAUAUGGAAAUGUUUUCUUCUUUUUUUUUAAAGGUGGAUAUUUGCUUUAUGGACUUGUUGUGAAACAGUAAUAUUACAGAUAAGCUAAGCCUUAUCUACACAACCUCUCCUACAAGCUACACACCACCUCCCAUUGAACUGCUAUGAAUCAACAUGACCAUCAGAGGACAAGGUUCAACAAAGACUGCAGAUAAACCAGCAUCCAGCGAGGAGCAUCUCAGCUGAGCAUGAAACGAAAGAGAAAAACCUUCAAGACCAUUUAGUACACUUACAGGAGAACAAGAGAAGAGAUGUACAAUCAAGGACCAACAGUCGGAAGAAUAAACCCUGCAUUCACUGACCCUCAGGAUGAACAGGAUCAAUCGAACAAGCCUAUGGACUCAAGACGCUAACGUUGAUGGACACCGAGAGUUAGCGAUGAGUAGCUCCAGAUCGGCAUUGAUCCUGAACAGUAUCGCUCAUCACGGCCAGCACUAUCCUCUUAAUUUAUUUGUAUAGUGCAAGAUAAUGAACAGAUGUUGUAUUCUGCUUCAGAUAAAUCUACUCUUAUUGUAACUCAUCAAUGACUUUGUGGAAGAAAUGACAAGUAGCCUAUUUUCAAGGCACUCUAAAAAAAAAAAAAAUGUAUGAUUAUAUUAUUUAUUCCUUGCUGUAUUUAAUGUGGUUAGAUUAAUCUCUGAACUGUAUGAUUAUCUGUGCAUUUUACAUCUACAGUAGCAGAUGUGAAAUUAAAGUACAUGUUUCUUUAUACCAAUAUUUUAAAUUAGACAUCAAAAUAAGGCAUUUGAAUAAAAUCACAGCAUAUCUUUUUUUACCA
ensembl:lncRNA